UACGUAGGGGGCAAGCGUUGUCCGGAAUUAUUGGGCGUAAAGAGCGUGUAGGCGGUCCGGUAAGUCAGCUGUGAAAGUCAAGGGCUCAACCCUUGAAUGCCGGUUGAUACUGUCGGGCUAGAGUCCGGAAGAGGCGAGUGGAAUUCCCGGUGUAGCGGUGAAAUGCGCAGAUAUCGGGAGGAACACCAAUGGCGAAGGCAGCUCGCUGGGACGGUACCGACGCUGAGACGCGAAAGCGUGGGGAGCAAACAGG
rnacentral:rRNA from 1 species